GCAGAGCAGCUGUCGACAUUAUAGUUGCGCAGGCACUUUGUUGACUCUAGAGAACCUCGGGCCAAUCGCACGUCGUGGCGGCGACUUUGCAUUCGGACAUCAUCCAUAUCAAUUUUUAAUGCCAGUUUCUGCUCCUACCGUGGUGACCACAGGUAACGGGGAAUCAGGGUUGGAUUACGGAGAGGGAAUCUGAGAAAUGACUACCACAUGCAAGGAAGGCAGCAGGCACGCAAAUGACCCACUCCCGAUGCGGGAAGGUAGUGAC